UACGGGAGGCAGCAGUGAGGAAUAUUGGACAAUGGGCGCAAGCCUGAUCCAGCCAUGCCGCGUGCAGGAUGACGGUCCUAUGGAUUGUAAACUGCUUUUGCACUGGAAGAAACAACGCUACGUGUAGCGUCUUGACGGUACUGUGAGAAUAAGGAUCGGCUAACUCCGUG
rnacentral:rRNA from 1 species